rnacentral:rRNA from 1 species
GACGAACCGUGCGAACGUUGUUCGGAAUCACUGGGCUUAAAGGGCGCGUAGGCGGAUCAUCAAGUCCGGGGUGAAAUCCCAUGGCUCAACCAUGGAAGUGCCUUGGAUACUAGUGGUCUGGAGGGAGGUAGGGGCGUGUGGAACUUCCGGUGGAGCGGUGAAAUGCGUAGAUAUCGGAAGGAACGCCGGUGGCGAAAGCGACGCGCUGGACCUCUUCUGACGCUGAGGCGCGAAAGCCAGGGGAGCAAACGGG